GGAAAGACCCUAUGCACCUUUACUAUAACUUAGUAUUGGGUUUGGUUGCAUGAUGCGUAGGAUAGGUGGGAGACUGCGAUCCGGUGCUUUCGGGCAUUGGGGAGUCAACGGUGAAAUACCACCCUUCAUGUAAUCGGAUUCUAACCCGGCGGAGUGUAUCCGCGGGGACAGUGCUAGGCGGGUAGUUUGACUGGGGCGGUCGCCUCCUAAAAUGUAACGGAGGCUUGCCAAGGUUCCCUCAGCACGGUUGGUAAUCGUGCGUAGAGUGCAAAAGCAUAAGGGAGCUUGACUGUAAGAGAGACAUCUCGAGCAGGGACGAAAGUCGGCUUUAGUGAUCCGGCGGCUCUGAAUGGAAAGGCCGUCGCUCAAAGGAUAAAAG
rnacentral:rRNA from 1 species